AUUGAACGCUGGCGGCAGGCUUAACACAUGCAAGUCGAGCGGAGAUGAGGUGCUUGCACCUUAUCUUAGCGGCGGACGGGUGAGUAAUGCUUAGGAAUCUGCCAUUUAGUGGGGGACAACAUUCCGAAAGGAAUGAUAAUACCGCAUACGUCCUAGGGGAGAAAGCAGGGGAUCUUCGGACCUUGCGCUAAAUGAUGAGCCUAAGUCGGAUUAGCUAGUUGGUGGGGUAAAGGCCUACCAAGGCGACGAUCUGUAGCGGGUCUGAGAGGAUGAUCCGCCACACUGGGACUGAGACACGGCCCAGACUCCUACGGGAGGCAGCAGUGGGGAAUAUUGGUCAAUGGGCGGAAGCCUGAUCCAGCCAUGCCGCGUGUGUGAAGAAGGCCUUUUGGUUGUAAAGCACUUUAAGCGAGGAGGAGUCUACUAGUACUAAUACUACUGGAUAGUGGACGUUACUCGCAGAAUAAGCACCGGCUAACUCUGUGCCAGCAGCCGCGGUAACAC
rnacentral:rRNA from 1 species